UACGGAGGAGGCAAGCGUUAUCCGGAAUUAUUGGGCGUAAAGCGUCCGCAGGCGGCACUUCAAGUCUGUCGUCAAAGACUGGGGCUUAACCCCGGAAAGGCGGUGGAAACUGAAGCGCUAGAGUGCGGUAGGGGUAGAGGGAAUUCCCGGUGUAGCGGUGAAAUGCGUAGAGAUCGGGAAGAACAUCGGUGGCGAAAGCGCUCUACUGGACCGCAACUGACACUCAGGGACGAAAGCUAGGGGAGCGAAUGGG
rnacentral:rRNA from 1 species